GGGGUUGUAGCUCAGCGGUAGAGCGGCCGACUGCAGAUCGGCAGGUCCCCGGAUCAAUCCCGGGCGGCCCCU